UACGUAGGGUGCGAGCGUUAAUCGGAAUUACUGGGCGUAAAGCGUGCGCAGGCGGCUCCGCAAGUCAGACGUGAAAUCCCCGGGCUUAACCUGGGAAUGGCGUUUGAAACUACGGAGCUGGAGUAUGGCAGAGGGGGGUGGAAUUCCACGUGUAGCGGUGAAAUGCGUAGAUAUGUGGAGGAACACCGAUGGCGAAGGCAGGUCUCUGGGCAUUAACUGACGCUGAGGAGCGAAAGCAUGGGGAGCGAACAGG
rnacentral:rRNA from 1 species